GGGAUGUGAUGAAGAAUUAUUGGUCCGUGUUUCUGAUCAUCAGUGAUGAGCAAAACACUCCAUAAUUCUGAUCCC
rfam:Sorghum bicolor cultivar BTx623 chromosome 1, whole genome shotgun sequence.